ACCUUAGCUAACCUUAGGUGUAGCAGUUAACUAGCUAGCUAACGUUAGCUAGUAUGGUAAAUACAAGCCUACAGCUUAAACAUCUGUAACUUUGCUGAAUGAAAGUUCAGUUGUUUUCUGGAGUUCUUUAUCUAUCAAGCCAAGCUGGUAAACUUGCAGCACCAAGUUAUUGCAGCAUUUAAAAAAGAAAUGGCACACAGGAAUUUGAACAGCGUCUGAGGAUGGAUGCCAUCCAAGCACAGAGAGCAGGCUGGGAGGUUUUCACAAGGUUCAGCUCAAGUAUUGUCUUUGCCAACGCUUUGAUCAAGCAAGUGGAGCUCAGUGUGACAGUCUGGCAGGGUAAUUGGGCUGAAAUUGCCAGUACACAAAUGUACAUGUGUGAAAACACACACAUGGCCUGUGCACAUACGCCCCUUUUUAUAUUGCCUUAAUAUUACUUUACGAAUAGAAGUCAACUCUUGCAGGAGUUAAAUUUGAAAAUGAAAUAUUUAGGCUUUGUAAAAU